GGAAUGUAGCUCAGUUGGUAGAGUGCUUACCUAGCAUACAUAAGGCGCUGGGUUCAAUUCCCAGCAACAUCCA
rnacentral:tRNA from 1 species